rnacentral:tRNA from 1 species
CAAAAUAAAGCUUAAAGUGAAGCAUUUCACUUACACUGAAAGGAUGUUCGUGCAAUUCGAAUUAUUUUGA